AGAGUUUGAUCCUGGCUCAGGAUGAACGCUGGCGGCGUGCUUAACACAUGCAAGUCGAGCGAAGCAUUUUUAAGGAAGUUUUCGGAUGGAAUUAAAAAUGACUGAGCGGCGGACGGGUGAGUAACGCGUGGGUAACCUGCCUCAUACAGGGGGAUAACAGUUGGAAACGACUGCUAAUACCGCAUAAGCGCACAGUGUCACAUGACACGGUGUGAAAAACUCCGGUGGUAUGAGAUGGACCCGCGUCUGAUUAGGUAGUUGGUGAGGUAACGGCCCACCAAGCCGACGAUCAGUAGCCGACCUGAGAGGGUGACCGGCCACAUUGGGACUGAGACACGGCCCAAACUCCUACGGGAGGCAGCAGUGGGGAAUAUUGGACAAUGGGGGAAACCCUGAUCCAGCGACGCCGCGUGAGUGAAGAAGUAUUUCGGUAUGUAAAGCUCUAUCAGCAGGGAAGAAAAUGACGGUACCUGACUAAGAAGCCCCGGCUAACUACGUGCCAGCAGCCGCGGUAAUACGUAGGGGGCAAGCGUUAUCCGGAUUUACUGGGUGUAAAGGGAGCGUAGACGGCACUGCAAGUCUGGAGUGAAAGCCCGGGGCUCAACCCCGGGACUGCUUUGGAAACUGUGGUGCUGGAGUGCAGGAGAGGUAAGUGGAAUUCCUAGUGUAGCGGUGAAAUGCGUAGAUAUUAGGAGGAACACCAGUGGCGAAAGCGGCUUACUGGACUGUAACUGACGU
rnacentral:rRNA from 1 species